rnacentral:rRNA from 1 species
GAUGAACGCUAGCGGCAGGCUUAACACAUGCAAGUCGAGGGGUAUAGGUUUUCGGACCUAGAGACCGGCGCACGGGUGCGUAACGCGUAUGCAAUCUACCUUUCACAGAGGGAUAGCCCAGAGAAAUUUGGAUUAAUACCUCAUAGUAUUACGGGAUGGCAUCAUUCUGUAAUUAAAGUCACAACGGUGAAAGAUGAGCAUGCGUCCCAUUAGCUAGUUGGUAAGGUAACGGCUUACCAAGGCGACGAUGGGUAGGGGUCCUGAGAGGGAGAUCCCCCACACUGGUACUGAGACACGGACCAGACACCUACGGGAGGCAG